CGUUGGGGGGGUGCUAAUACAUGCAGUAGAACGCUGAAGAGAGGAGCUUGCUCUUCUUGGAUGAGUUGCGAACGGGUGAGUAACGCGUAGGUAACCUGCCUUGUAGCGGGGGAUAACUAUUGGAAACGAUAGCUAAUACCGCAUAACAAUGGAUGACCCAUGUCAUUUAUUUGAAAGGGGCAAAUGCUCCACUACAAGAUGGACCUGCGUUGUAUUAGCUAGUAGGUGAGGUAACGGCUCACCUAGGCGACGAUACAUAGCCGACCUGAGAGGGUGAUCGGCCACACUGGGACUGAGACACGGCCCAGACUCCUACGGGAGGCAGCAGUAGGGAAUCUUCGGCAAUGGGGGCAACCCUGACCGAGCAACGCCGCGUGAGUGAAGAAGGUUUUCGGAUCGUAAAGCUCUGUUGUAAGUCAAGAACGAGUGUGAGAGUGGAAAGUUCACACUGUGACGGUAGCUUACCAGAAAGGGACGGCUAACUACGUGCCAGCAGCCGCGGUAAUACGUAGGUCCCGAGCGUUGUCCGGAUUUAUUGGGCGUAAAGCGAGCGCAGGCGGUUUGAUAAGUCUGAAGUUAAAGGCUGUGGCUCAACCAUAGUUCGCUUUGGAAACUGUCAAACUUGAGUGCAGAAGGGGAGAGUGGAAUUCCAUGUGUAGCGGUGAAAUGCGUAGAUAUAUGGAGGAACACCGGUGGCGAAAGCGGCUCUCUGGUCUGUAACUGACGCUGAGGCUCGAAAGCGUGGGGAGCGAACAGGAUUAGAUACCCUGGUAGUCCACGCCGUAAACGAUGAGUGCUAGGUGUUGGAUCCUUUCCGGGAUUCAGUGCCGCAGCUAACGCAUUAAGCACUCCGCCUGGGGAGUACGACCGCAAGGUUGAAACUCAAAGGAAUUGACGGGGGCCCGCACAAGCGGUGGAGCAUGUGGUUUAAUUCGAAGCAACGCGAAGAACCUUACCAGGUCUUGACAUCCCGAUGCUAUUUCUAGAGAUAGAAAGUUACUUCGGUACAUCGGUGACAGGUGGUGCAUGGUUGUCGUCAGCUCGUGUCGUGAGAUGUUGGGUUAAGUCCCGCAACGAGCGCAACCCCUAUUGUUAGUUGCCAUCAUUCAGUUGGGCACUCUAGCGAGACUGCCGGUAAUAAACCGGAGGAAGGUGGGGAUGACGUCAAAUCAUCAUGCCCCUUAUGACCUGGGCUACACACGUGCUACAAUGGUUGGUACAACGAGUUGCGAGUCGGUGACGGCAAGCUAAUCUCUUAAAGCCAAUCUCAGUUCGGAUUGUAGGCUGCAACUCGCCUACAUGAAGUCGGAAUCGCUAGUAAUCGCGGAUCAGCACGCCGCGGUGAAUACGUUCCCGGGCCUUGUACACACCGCCCGUCACACCACGAGAGUUUGUAACACCCGAAGUCGGUGAGGUAACCUUUUGGAGCCAGCCGCCUAAGGGUGGAAAAAAAGG
rnacentral:rRNA from 1 species